rnacentral:rRNA from 1 species
ACUGGCAGGCUAGAGUCUUGUAGAGGGGGGUAGAAUUCCAGGUGUAGCGGUGAAAUGCGUAGAGAUCUGGAGGAAUACCGGUGGCGAAGGCGGCCCCCUGGACAAAGACUGACGCUCAGGUGCGAAAGCGUGGGGAGCAAACAGGAUUAGAUACCCUGGUAGUCCACGCCGUAAACGAUGUCGAUUUGGAGGUUGUGCCCUUGAGGCGUGGCUUCCGGAGCUAACGCGUUAAAUCGACCGCCUGGGGAGUACGGCCGCAAGGUUAAAACUCAAAUGAAUUGACGGGGGCCCGCACAAGCGGUGGAGCAUGUGGUUUAAUUCGAUGCAACGCGAAGAACCUUACCUGGUCUUGACAUCCACAGAACUUUCCAGAGAUGGAUUGGUGCCUUCGGGAACUGUGAGACAGGUGCUGCAUGGCUGUCGUCAGCUCGUGUUGUGAAAUGUUGGGUUAAGUCCCGCAACGAGCGCAACCCUUAUCCUUUGUUGCCAGCGGUUAGGCC